rnacentral:sRNA from 1 species
GCUGCCGCUGCCGCCCAGGCUGGAAGCCCAGACACGGAAUCCCGAAUAACCAAAAGGACACUGUCUGUGAAGACACUUUCCCGAUUCUUCGACAAAGUCCAGGACCUGGGCAGAGACUCCAAGACAAGCUCAGCCGAGGUCACCAUCCAGGUAAGGGCAGGACGCUGGGGGACCCCAGGACAGUGUAGAAUCAGCUAGCGGAGGCUUCCGUGUGGCCAGAGAGAGUGCCCAACCCAAGCAGGGGCCUCUAGUCAGAGACACACAUGCGCAUAACAUACACACACCAC